GAACGCUGGCGGCGUGCCUAAUACAUGCAAGUCGAACGCUUCUUUCCUCCCGAGUGCUUGCACUCAAUUGGAAAGAGGAGUGGCGGACGGGUGAGUAACACGUGGGUAACCUACCCAUCAGAGGGGGAUAACACUUGGAAACAGGUGCUAAUACCGCAUAACAGUUUAUGCCGCAUGGCAUAAGAGUGAAAGGCGCUUUCGGGUGUCGUUGAUGGAUGGACCCGCGGUGCAUUAGCUAGUUGGUGAGGUAACGGCUCACCAAGGCCACGAUGCAUAGCCGACCUGAGAGGGUGAUCGGCCACACUGGGACUGAGACACGGCCCAGACUCCUACGGGAGGCAGCAGUAGGGAAUCUUCGGCAAUGGACGAAAGUCUGACCGAGCAACGCCGCGUGAGUGAAGAAGGUUUUCGGAUCGUAAAACUCUGUUGUUAGAGAAGAACAAGGACGUUAGUAACUGAACGUCCCCUGACGGUAUCUAACCAGAAAGCCACGGCUAACUACGUGCCAGCAGCCGCGGUAAUACGUAGGUGGCAAGCGUUGUCCGGAUUUAUUGGGCGUAAAGCGAGCGCAGGCGGUUUCUUAAGUCUGAUGUGAAAGCCCCCGGCUCAACCGGGGAGGGUCAUUGGAAACUGGGAGACUUGAGUGCAGAAGAGGAGAGUGGAAUUCCAUGUGUAGCGGUGAAAUGCGUAGAUAUAUGGAGGAACACCAGUGGCGAAGGCGGCUCUCUGGUCUGUAACUGACGCUGAGGCUCGAAAGCGUGGGGAGCAAACAGGAUUAGAUACCCUGGUAGUCCACGCCGUAAACGAUGAGUGCUAAGUGUUGGAGGGUUUCCGCCCUUCAGUGCUGCAGCAAACGCAUUAAGCACUCCGCCUGGGGAGUACGACCGCAAGGUUGAAACUCAAAGGAAUUGACGGGGGCCCGCACAAGCGGUGGAGCAUGUGGUUUAAUUCAAAGCAACGCGAAGAACCUUACCAGGUCUUGACAUCCUUUGACCACUCUAGAGAUAGAGCUUUCCCUUCGGGGACAAAGUGACAGGUGGUGCAUGGUUGUCGUCAGCUCGUGUCGUGAGAUGUUGGGUUAAGUCCCGCAACGAGCGCAACCCUUAUUGUUAGUUGCCAUCAUUUAGUUGGGCACUCUAGCGAGACUGCCGGUGACAAACCGGAGGAAGGUGGGGAUGACGUCAAAUCAUCAUGCCCCUUAUGACCUGGGCUACACACGUGCUACAAUGGGAAGUACAACGAGUCGCUAGACCGCGAGGUCAUGCAAAUCUCUUAAAGCUUCUCUCAGUUCGGAUUGCAGGCUGCAACUCGCCUGCAUGAAGCCGGAAUCGCUAGUAAUCGCGGAUCAGCACGCCGCGGUGAAUACGUUCCCGGGCCUUGUACACACCGCCCGUCACACCACGAGAGUUUGUAACACCCGAAGUCGGUGAGGUAACCUUUUUGGAGCCAGCCGCCUAAGGUGGGAUAGAUGAUUGGGGUGAAG
rnacentral:rRNA from 1 species